UUAUAUAUUAAAAGUUCAAUCCCUU
rnacentral:misc_RNA from 1 species